ACGCUAGCUACAGGCUUAACACAUGCAAGUCGUGGGGCAGCGGAUGCUUAGCUUGCUAAGUAUGCCGGCGACCGGCGCACGGGUGAGUAACGCGUACCGAACCUGCCCAUCACACAGGGAUAGGCUUGCGAAAGCAAGAUUAAUACCUGAUGGUCUCAGUUGUAUGCAUGUAUGAUUGAGUAAAGCCUUCGGGCGGUGAUGGAUGGCGGUGCGUCCCAUUAGGAAGUUGGCGGGGUAACGGCCCACCAAUCCUUCGAUGGGUAGGAGUUCUGAGAGGAAGGUCCCCCACAUUGGAACUGAGAUACGGUCCAAACUCCUACGGGAGGCAGCAGUGAGGAAUAUUGGUCAAUGGGCGGGAGCCUGAACCAGCCAAGUAGCGUGCGGGAUGAAGGCCCUUGUGGUCGUAAACCGCUUUUAUCAGUGAAUAAAGUGCACCACGUGUGGUGUCAUUGCUGGUAGCUGAAGAAAAAGGACCGGCUAAUUCCGUGCCAGCAGCCGCGGUAAUACGGAAGGUCCGGGCGUUAUCCGGAAUUAUUGGGUUUAAAGGGAGCGCAGGCGGGAGUGUAAGUCAGCUGUUAAAUAUCAGGGCCCAACUCUGUUAUGCAGUUGAAACUAUAUUUCUUGAGUACGCACAGGGAUGGCGGAAUUCAGGGUGUAGCGGUGAAAUGCUUAGAUAUCCUGAAGAACUCCGAUCGCGAAGGCAGCCAUCCGGAGCGUAACUGACGCUGAGGCUCGAAGGUGCGGGUAUCGAACAGGAUUAGAUACCCUGGUAGUCCGCACGGUAAACGAUGAAUACUCGCAGUUCGGUCAUUAUGAUUGAGUUGUCCAGCGAAAGCGUUAAGUAUUCCACCUGGGGAGUACGCCGGCAACGGUGAAACUCAAAGGAAUAGACGGGGGCCCGC
rnacentral:rRNA from 1 species